UAGCCAACCGAUUAACCAUUGUCAUAAACACUUGUAGGGAACAAGAAUGAACCGAAACUCCACAGUCAGUGUUUCUGGAAAUAUCUGUAAAAAAACAGAAACAACUCUCAACUCUCUAAAACAGGAGCAGGGACGUGCUGUUUAAAUUUAGGGAGCUAACACUAGCUAACUGCUAAUUAGUAGCUUUUUGGCUAGCUACUUAGAAGUUAGCCAAAAAGCUAACAAGUUUUAUUCAUGAACUGAUUAUUUGAACCAUGUUUGUUCAACCCAGUGCGUCAGUCUGUAAUCGGACAGGUGAGCUUCAAUGCAUUGGAAAUGAUCAUGAUGAAGUUAAAUCCUCACCUCAUCUCAGGCUGCAUCUUGUCCUCCCUCCAACAAUGACUGCAGCGCCAUCUUGUGAAAGAAAGAAUUGAUUCUCCCUGGAAACUGCUGCCUACAGAACAGGUGCACACUGAGCAGGUGGGCCCUUACGUACGAGCCUUGAGAGUUUGGAGCUGGAGUAAAUCAUACCUCACACUAUUUUAGGGGAUUGGUGGGGAGACUUGGAAGGAGCAACAGUAAGAGAGAAACAACGGAUAAGAAAGAAAGAGCAAAGGUUUUGCAGGGCAGACUGCACACAGAUAUAGGCACCUCCUGUUCCCCAUCUGGCCACUGAAGCUCCUCCAGCUGGGAGAAAGAUGACACACAGCACAGGAAGAGAGGGUUAGCAACGGAACGACAAGCCAGAGAUCAUCUGCCGGACAGCCUCCAUAUGCUGCUCGAACACGGCUAAGUGGGUCUACUCUCACGUUUGGGCAACGCUCCUCCUUGCUUGACCAGAAAUGGACAUAGCUUUAUAAUUUUUUCCAACGGAAUAUCUGACUCUGCGAAAUACAGCCACAAUGUUGUCAGCAAACCUGAUGUGGUUGCACUUCUUUUAUUUAUUUAUUUACUUUUAUUGCGGUUCUGGCAACAAUUAUAUAUUUUUCCGGUUCCGAAUAUGUACAGAACCAUUUUUUUUCAUGGCUUUUGAACUACCUUAACAAAACACAAAAACAGAAGGAGUCACAACUUUACAAACACGAUACAAAAGAAAACAAAAUGAAAGAAAACAGACACACCACCAGGCUGACAUAAUUACAUUCAAAUUACUAGGGUAUGCUGUAGUCACUUCCAAUGUUGUUAAUUAGGUAGAACGAAGUCCAGUCCAGAGGGGUCCACUGUGUCCAAGACUGGUUGCCAUAUCUUAAUAAAUCCUUUGACAUUG